rnacentral:rRNA from 1 species
UACAGAGGGUGCAAGCGUUGUCCGGAAUUAUUGGGCGUAAAGAGCUCGUAGGCGGUCUGUCGCGUCUGCUGUGAAAACUCAGGGCUUAACCCUGAGCUUGCAGUGGGUACGGGCAGACUAGAGUGCGGUAGGGGAGACUGGAAUUCCUGGUGUAGCGGUGAAAUGCGCAGAUAUCAGGAGGAACACCGGUGGCGAAGGCGGGUCUCUGGGCCGUAAGCUGAC